rnacentral:rRNA from 1 species
GACGAACGCUGGCGGCGUGCUUAACACAUGCAAGUCGAGCGGAGCGGCGAACGGGUGAGUAACGCGUGAGUAACUGCCCCCCUCUCUGGGAUACCAGUUGGAAACGGCUGCUAAUACCGGAUAGUGGGGGAUGAUUUGCGUCCUAUCAGAUUGUUGGUGCGGUAGUGGCCUACCAAGGCGACGGAGGGUAGCCGGCCUGAGAGGGCGACCGGCCACAAGGGGCUGAGAUACGGCCCAAACUCCUCCGGGAGGCAGCAGUGGGGAAUAUUGCACAAUGGGGGAAACCCUGUGGCAGCAACGCCGCGUGCGUGAUGAUGUGCUUCGAGUUGUAAACCGCUUUGAGCAAGAACGCGGUAGUUGCAGAGGAAGCACCGGCUAACUACGUGCCAGCAGCCGCGGUAAUAC